rnacentral:tRNA from 1 species
AGUAAAAUGCCUGAAAUUAAAGGGUUAUCUUGAUAGGAUAAAUUAUGUAUAUUAAUACUUUUACUA